ACUCCACGAAGCUGGAUUCGCUAGUAAUCGCGCAUCAGCCACGGCGCGGUGAAUACGUUCCCGGGCCUUGUACACACCGCCCGUCAAGCCAUGGGGAGCCGGGGUACCUGAAGUGCGUAACCGCGAGGAGCGCCCUAGGGUAAAACUGGUGACUGGGGCUAAGUCGUAACAAGGUAGC
rnacentral:rRNA from 1 species